CGCAGGGGGCUAGCGUUGCUCGGAAUCACUGGGCGUAAAGGGUGCGUAGGCGGGUCUUUAAGUCAGGGGUGAAAUCCUGGAGCUCAACUCCAGAACUGCCUUUGAUACUGAAGAUCUUGAGUUCGGGAGAGGUGAGUGGAACUGCGAGUGUAGAGGUGAAAUUCGUAGAUAUUCGCAAGAACACCAGUGGCGAAGGCGGCUCACUGGCCCGAUACUGACGCUGAGGCACGAAAGCGUGGGGAGCAAACAGG
rnacentral:rRNA from 1 species